AAUCCAUAGGUUAAUGAGGCGAACCGGGGGAACUGAAACAUCUAAGUACCCCGAGGAAAAGAAAUCAACCGAGAUUCCCCCAGUAGCGGCGAGCGAACGGGGAGGAGCCCAGAGCCUGAAUCAGCAUGUGUGUUAGUGGAAGCGUCUGGAAAGGCGCGCGAUACAGGGUGACAGCCCCGUACACAAAAGCGCAUGUGCUGUGAGCUCGAUGAGUAGGGCGGGACACGUGGUAUCCUGUCUGAAUAUGGGGGGACCAUCCUCCAAGGCUAAAUACUCCUGACUGACCGAUAGUGAACCAGUACCGUGAGGGAAAGGCGAAAAGAACCCCGGCGAGGGGAGUGAAAAAGAACCUGAAACCGUGUACGUACAAGCAGUGGGAGCCCCACCACCAAAGCAUUUGCUGUACCGCGUUGACGGAGCGAAGCGACGUCAAACCGAUAAAACAGCAGUGUAAAGUGAGCCGCAGGGCGCUUUGCGCGACAGCGCAAAGGCAGGCGGUUUCGCGUAGCGAAAGCGAAUGCUUUGGGGUGGGGUGACUGCGUACCUUUUGUAUAAUGGGUCAGCGACUUAUAUUCUGUAGCAAGGUUAACCGAAUAGGGGAGCCGUAGGGAAACCGAGUCUUAACCGGGCGUUAAGUUGCAGGGUAUAGACCCGAAACCCGGUGAUCUAGCCAUGGGCAGGUUGAAGGUUGGGUAACACUAACUGGAGGACCGAACCGACUAAUGUUGAAAAAUUAGCGGAUGACCUGUGGCUGGGGGUGAAAGGCCAAUCAAACCGGGAGAUAGCUGGUUCUCCCCGAAAGCUAUUUAGGUAGCGCCUCGUGAAUUCAUCUCCGGGGGUAGAGCACUGUUUCGGCUAGGGGGCCAUCCCGGCUUACCAACCCGAUGCAAACUGCGAAUACCGGAGAAUGUUAUCACGGGAGACACACGGCGGGUGCUAACGUCCGUCGUGAAGAGGGAAACAACCCAGACCGCCAGCUAAGGUCCCAAAGUCAUGGUUAAGUGGGAAACGAUGUGGGAAGGCCCAGACAGCCAGGAUGUUGGCUUAGAAGCAGCCAUCAUUUAAAGAAAGCGUAAUAGCUCACUGGUCGAGUCGGCCUGCGCGGAAGAUGUAACGGGGCUAAACCAUGCACCGAAGCUGCGGCAGCGACGCUGAUGCGUUGUUGGGUAGGGGAGCGUUCUGUAAGCCUG
rnacentral:rRNA from 1 species